GGUUCAAUAGUGUAGUCGGUUUAUCACGUCUGUCUCACACAUCACGUGCUGACCACAGGAGGUCCCCGGUUCGAGCCCGGGUUGAACCA